rfam:Schistosoma haematobium scaffold879_20, whole genome shotgun sequence.
ACUGCUGAGGAGUCCCAUACUAGGACGAAACGGCCGUCCAGU